CCCGCUGAAACAUGUAAGAAACCAACUGCUGUAUGCGAUGCGGUGGUUCUAAAGGCUUACGACUGCUUUUUCACAAACCGCUGUCCUCAUUUAGCCACAGUCCAUGGAGAUGGAGAAGGCAAUGUGCCAAGAACAGGGGAUAUAAUGAUGAACAAGAAACAGAUAUGAACAAAUAAGGGAUGAUCUGUGCUACUUUGAGGAAAAACUCAAAGCGACCAGGAAAGAAAGAAAAAUGAUGGAUCCGGGAGCAUGCCUGCUGGUCUUCCCUAUAGAUUUUGGACUCAAGACUGCAACUCUUGCCUGAAUUUCUAGCAUACUAGCCUGCCUUAGGAGUUUUGGGCUUACCAGCUCCCACAAUUGCAUGAGCCA